ACUGCUGCCGCUCCUGCUGCUCCAAUAUAACGGCGAUGCAGCCGCUGUUGUGGGUUGUCGUCACCGUACUCCACCUCCUAGCUCUUGUAACACGGCCCGCGCUAUCGGACCCGAGCGACGAGGCUUGCCUGUCCAACCUCCGGCGGUCGAUGACGGACCCGGGCAACAGGCUGUGCAACUGGACGGCGGCUACUUUCGUGGCAUCCUGCAACGGAUUCACCUCCUACCUCCACGGCGUCACCUGCAACAACGGGCGCGUUUACAAGCUCGCCCUUCCCGGCCUCACCCUAGGCGGCUCCCUCUCCCCCUACCUCGCCAACUGCACUAACCUCCAGUCUCUCGACCUCUCCUCCAACGCCCUGACCGGCCCCAUCCCCCCGCAGCUCUCCACCCUCCUCAACCUUGCCGUCCUCAACCUCUCCGCCAACCGCCUCUCCGGCACCAUCCCCCCGCAGCUCGCCCUCUGCGCCUACCUCAACUUCAUCGACCUCCACGCCAACCUCCUCUCCGGCACCAUUCCCGCCCAGCUCGGCCUCCUCGCCCGCCUCUCCGCCUUCGACGUCUCCUACAACCGCCUCGAGGGCCCCAUCCCCGCUCUGUUCGCCAACCGCUCCGACGACCUCGCACUCCCACGCUUCAACGCCAGCUCCUUCGUCGGCAACCGGGGACUGUACGGGUACCCCCUGCCCCCGGAAAGAGGCGGCAGGGGGCUGUCGGUGCCCGCCAUCGUCGGGAUCGGGCUCGGCAGUGGGCUCCUCAGCCUGGUGCUCAGCUUCACCGCCGUCUGCGUCUGGCUCCGCGCCACCGAGCGCACCACCAAGGCGCCCGGCGAGGAAGGGAAGGUCUCUCACCUCGACUACUGACCGGUUUCACCCCCUUCCUCCCCGUUCUGCCAUGAAUCCGCCGUAAAAAUCGCAUCUUUAUCUUCCCAUCCGCAUCUACGAAGAGUUUAAGCUUCCAUUGACAUCCAACGCCAAAACAAAGGAAGGAUUUAGACUAGGCACUCUUCUUGUCUUGGGAGG